UGUCCUAUGGUGUAAUGGUAACACUGCAGAUUUUGAUUCUGCCUUUCUAGGUUCGAAUCCUGGUAGGACAA
rnacentral:tRNA from 4 species